GCUUAUAUAGUUUUAAAUAAAAC
rnacentral:tRNA from 3 species